rnacentral:rRNA from 1 species
UACAGAGGUCCCAAGCGUUGUUCGGAUUCACUGGGCGUAAAGGGUGCGUAGGUGGUUGGGUAAGUCUGAGGUGAAAUCUCCGAGCUUAACUCGGAAACUGCCUUGGAUACUAUCCAGCUUGAGGGUUGGAGGGGGGACUGGAAUUCUCGGUGUAGCAGUGAAAUGCGUAGAUAUCGAGAGGAACACCAGUGGCGAAGGCGAGUCCCUGGACAACUCCUGACACUGAGGCACGAAAGCGUGGGGAGCGAACAGG